GAAAACUUGAAAACUACCGUUGGAUCGAGAAAUGGACAUCCGAGAUUCGUCCACGUCACCAUGAGUUAAAACUUAACUCGCAGAUUCACUCAUGAGUUAACUCAUGGUGACGUGGACGAAUCUCGGAUGUCCAUUUCUCGAUCCAACGGUAAUUUCUAAGUUUCC
rnacentral:pre_miRNA from 1 species